rnacentral:rRNA from 1 species
GACGAACCGUCCAAACGUUAUUCGGAAUCACUGGGCUUACAGAGUUCGUAGGCGGUCUGGAAAGUUGGGUGUGAAAUCCCUCGGCCUAACCGAGGAACUGCGCUUGAAACUACCAGACUCGAGGGGGAUAGAGGAAAGCGGAACUGAUGGUGGAGCGGUGAAAUGCGUUGAUAUCAUCAGGAACACCGGAGGCGAAGGCGGCUCACUGGGGGGUCUUCUGACGCUGAGGAACGAAAGCCAGGGGAGCGAACGGGG